AUUGAACGCUGGCGGCAUGCCUUACACAUGCAAGUCGAACGGCAGCGGGGGAGAAGCUUGCUUCUCCUGCCGGCGAGUGGCGAACGGGUGAGUAAUACAUCGGAACGUGCCCUGUAGUGGGGGAUAACUAGUCGAAAGAUUAGCUAAUACCGCAUACAACCUGAGGGUGAAAGUGGGGGACCGCAAGGCCUCAUGCUAUAGGAGCGGCCGAUGUCUGAUUAGCUAGUUGGUGGGGUAAAGGCCUACCAAGGCGACGAUCAGUAGCUGGUCUGAGAGGACGAUCAGCCACACUGGGACUGAGACACGGCCCAGACUCCUACGGGAGGCAGCAGUGGGGAAUUUUGGACAACGGGCGAAAGCCUGAUCCAGCAAUGCCGCGUGUGUGAAGAAGGCCUUCGGGUUGUAAAGCACUUUUGUCCGGAAAGAAAUGGCUCUGGUUAAUACCUGGGGUCGAUGACGGUACCGGAAGAAUAAGGACCGGCUAACUACGUGCCAGCCGCCGCGGUAA
rnacentral:rRNA from 1 species